UACGGAGGGUGCGAGCGUUAAUCGGAAUAACUGGGCGUAAAGGGCACGCAGGCGGGCUUGUAAGUGAGGUGUGAAAUCCCCGGGCUUAACCUGGGAAUAGCAUUUCAGACUGGGUGUCUAGAGUACUUUAGGGAGGGGUAGAAUUCCACGUGUAGCGGUGAAAUGCGUAGAGAUGUGGAGGAAUACCGACGGAGAAGGCAGCCCCUUGGGAAUAUACUGACGCUCAUGUGCGAAAGCGUGGGGAGCAAACAGG
rnacentral:rRNA from 1 species